rnacentral:rRNA from 1 species
ACGGGAGGCAGCAGUCGGGAAUAUUGCGCAAUGGAGGAAACUCUGACGCAGUGACGCCGCGUAUAGGAAGAAGGUUUUCGGAUUGUAAACUAUUUUAGACAGGGAAGAAAAAAGACAGUACCUGUAGAAUAAGCUCCGGCUAACUACGUGCCAGCAGCCGCGGUAAUACGUAGGGAGCAAGCGUUAUCCGGAUUUAUUGGGUGUAAAGGGUGCGUAGACGGGAGAACAAGUUAGUUGUGAAAGCCCUCGGCUCAACUGAGGAACUGCAACUAAAACUAUAUUUCUUGAGUGCAGGAGAGGAAAGCGGAAUUCCUAGUGUAGCGGUGAAAUGCGUAGAUAUUAGGAGGAACACCAGUGGCGAAGGCGGCUUACUGGACUGUAACUGACGUUGAGGCUCGAAAGCGUGGGGAGCAAACAGGAUUAGAUACCCUGGUA